rnacentral:rRNA from 1 species
GAUCCUACGGGACGCAGCAGUGAGGAAUAUUGGUCAAUGGCCGCAGGGCUGAACCAGCCAAGUCGCGUGAGGGAUGACGGUCCUAUGGAUUGUAAACCUCUUUUGUCAGGGAGCAAAGGGCGCCACGUGUGGCGCUUUGCGAGUACCUGAAGAAAAAGCAUCGGCUAACUCCGUGCCAGCAGCCGCGGUAAUACGUAGGGAGCGAGCGUUAUCCGGAAUUAUUGGGCGUAAAGGGUGCGUAGAUGGCAUAGUAAGUCUUUUGUAAAAAUGCUGGGCUCAACCCAGUAGGGCAAAAGAUACUGCAA